CCUACGGGUGGCUGCAGUGGGGAAUAUUGGACAAUGGGGGCAACCCUGAUCCAGCCAUGCCGCGUGUGUGAAGAAGGCCCUCGGGUUGUAAAGCACUUUCAGUGAGGAAGAACGCCUGGUGGUUAAUACCCAUCAGGAAAGACAUCACUCACAGAAGAAGCACCGGCUAACUCCGUGCCAGCAGCCGCGGUAAUACGGAGGGUGCGAGCGUUAAUCGGAAUUACUGGGCGUAAAGCGCGCGUAGGUGGCUUGAUAAGCCGGUUGUGAAAGCCCCGGGCUCAACCUGGGAACGGCAUCCGGAACUGUCAAGCUAGAGUGCAGGAGAGGAAGGUAGAAUUCCCGGUGUAGCGGUGAAAUGCGUAGAGAUCGGGAGGAAUACCAGUGGCGAAGGCGGCCUUCUGGACUGACACUGACACUGAGGUGCGAAAGCGUGGGUAGCAAACAGGAUUAGAUACCCCGGUAGUC
rnacentral:rRNA from 1 species